rnacentral:piRNA from 1 species
UCCAAGGCCAAGGUCCCGACA